UUGGGAGGGGCAUGAGAUUUACCAGGCAAGUCUGAGGCGGUCGGUGCCAUCUUGGAAUGGCGACUGGCUUCCCACAUGCCUACAUAAGGACAAUGGAAGAACGAGGGUUCUUCUUCACCUCUUUGCACUUACUUGCCAGCUCUCAUCUGUUGGAACCUACUUCUUCAGGAUUUCAGCUUAAACAGAAAGCCAGCUGAACCACCCAGGCUUGUGGGACUGAGCAACUACUACAUUUUUGGACUUCCCAUUCACAGCUGAACAUUGUUGGGUACCACAAGGAUCUCUCCAACAACCCAAGAAAAUUCCUCAGACGCCACGAAAGGCCAAGCAGGGGAAUAACAGCUUUCUGGCCAUCCACCCUUCAGUGUUACUUAUGAAGUCCAGACAUGACCUUCAUGAGUCUAGAGAUUUGCAGUCUUGGUUUCGCCCUUGACACAACUGUGUCCCAUUUUCCACAGUUGUCACCACGUUGAGACUCUCUGGAGGCCGCUGCUGAGGACCCAGGAAAUGCUCUUUCUGAAAGGCCACAGGCUAUUUGACCCUGGACUUGUAUGUUUACGGAAUCCCAAGUGUAGCUAUUAAAGCGCAUUGCUGCCCACUUAUACAA